AGAGAGAGAGAGAGAGAGAUGUGAUGCAUUACUUCCCCUGGAGGUCUAGAAGGAGGCAGAAAAAGUCAAAUUUCUAAGAGCCUAAGGGAAAAAAUAACCAGCCUAAAGGAACUUUGGAAGGUUCUCACCAUGGCUGACUCGGAGGCCAGAGCUCACUGCAGAAUCUGUUGGAGAUGCCCCCUUCUCUGGGCUAUACUUCUCCCUUUACCAACUCCUGUCAAAAUCUGCUGUCUAUUCAUGGCCAAGGUGCAAAAGGGAACUGAGAACAAAUCUAUCCUAAGAAUCCACCUGAGGGGGUGCCUGGAUGGCUCAGUGGUUGAGCGUCUGCCUUCAGCUCAGGUUAUGAUGUUGGGUCCUGGGAAUGAGCCCUGCAUCAGGCUCCCCGUGGGGAACCUGCCUUUCCCUCUGCCUGUCUCUGCGUCUCUACGUCUCUGUGUUUCUCAUGAAUAAAUAGAUAAAUAAUAGUUUAAAAUCUUAAAAAAAAAAAAAAAAAAGAACCCACCCGAGAAGACUUCACAGCUACUCCUGGCAGUGUGGAGUGUGAGCCCAGACCGAGCCCUGAGCACUCUGCAUCAGUCUGGGUCAGCCUCAGUAGCUGUGUGACAGCCCUCUCUGAGCCUCAGACUCCAUUUCUGGAAAAUAGAGUAGUAAAAUCCAUCAGAGAGCCAAGAAAAAGGUCAAACAUGCAGGUCAACCUGAACCUAACCACAAGGAAACCAUCAGAAAAUCCAAAUUGAAAAAAAAAAAAUCCAAAUUGAGGGACAUUCUGCAAACCACUGUUUUGAAUGCUUCAAAAUGUCAAAGGCUUGGAAGACCAGAGGAAAAAAAGACCUCGGUUGGACUUUGGGCAAGAUACUUACUCUCUCUGUCCCAGUUUCCCUGUCUGUAUAACAGCAGGAUGACCCCUCUGCUAUUGGUCUCCGGUGAGAUUUAAAUAAGGCCUCUGCUAUUGUUGCAGUGAUCCAGUGGAGCAUGGGGAGGCUCAGCGAGGUGGGCAGGCACUGGGGGAGUGGAGCUGGCACUUGACGGGUCUGGAUGACUCCAAGCACAGCGUUCUCUGGCCUGCAGCAAGACGUACACCUUGGUUCUGCCUGGCCAUCUACAUGCCUACUGCAUGCCAGCCCCCUGGGCGAGGUUCGGGGAAUGUCAAAGGAAUGAGACACAGUCUCAAAUUCACACAAUCACAUUCUCAGUGGGGGAGACUGUUGUCAGAGUUGCCCUGGGGAGGCAAGUACUACAGGCGUUCCCAAGGCACAGCUGAGGAAAUGGAGAGGCUCUGCGAAGCUGAGACUCUAUAUGGGUCAGUCUGAUUUUAAAACCCACACUCCUAAUCACCGCCUCUUGGAGAUUAAUGGACAAACGUGAAAUGGUUGGGAGGAAGCAGCUGAUCCCAGGUUAUAGUAUUGAAGGGCUGAAUGGAAUGGGCUGAGUAGAUGCCAGAGGCUCGGAGUUCAAUGGGAUAACGGAGGUGCCGCUGAUCAGAUGAUUUCAGAAGCAUGAAGGGUCCAGGGGAAUGAGAUGAAGCUUGCCGGAUGGCCCCCAAUCCUUAGCGUUGUGAGUGCACUGGUGGCUUCGCUUCUCAGUAGGCUCCCAACAGCUCACUGCCUGAUUGCUGGGGUGCAUCUGAGGAUGCACCACCCACGGAUUUAAAAAAAUUUUUUUUCAUCCACUGAUUUCUAAGUUGGCCUCAGGUUCAGCCUUCACUGAAGUGCUUCCUUGUUUCCAAUAGCACCGAAUGUAGAUUUCUGGCAUUGGGAUUAUUUUUUACUGGAAUCAGUUUUUUAAAACAAUAAAUGUUUUUUAUACUAGAAGAGGGGGGAAAAAAACCUUUGAAAACUUUUUGAUAAUUUGGGCUGACGCUCAUUCCUCUGAAGAGUCUUCUGUGAUAGCAGUCACAGCAAAGUAGUCUGAGUACAGGAAUGGCCACUUGGUUUGUGGGGAGUCCCUGGGCGAGGUGCUUGUCUCCACACCAGUUUCCUAUCUGUAAAAUGAUAGGGCACCGGGCAGCCCCGAUGGCGCAGCGGUUUAGCACCGCCUGC